rnacentral:lncRNA from 1 species
GAUAUAUAUAUCUCUCCAAGCAACAGAAAUGUAUUUAAAUUUUUCUUUUCUUUUUAUAAUAUCCAUAUGAAAACCAAAGAGUUCAUAAGCUUCUAUCCCCCUUGAUUAACAAGCAGGGUGAGACCAUGAAUCAAAGUCAUGAUCUAGAAUGUUCUUUCCCACACUAGUGCUCUGAAUGUGUUUUUGAUGUUGUUAAUACAAUAUCAUUACAGAGUAGGACCUUAAACACAGAAAAGGAAAGUUCACUUCAUAUCCAAAAUGACAAUCUGAAUUAAUUGUGUUAAGUACACAGAAGCAAACUGCAAUCCUGCUGAGUCAGGAAUUCUGCUAUUUUUAACAUACUUAGUCAAUUUGCAUAUGCAGAGAUAUUUAACAACUUCACUGUCAUUUUAAACACAAAAACAGCCAAAGAGUUGAAAGUCUAAAAAUUGGAAUUUCUUUAAAAACAAAAUACAUUAUUAUCCAAGAGGUAUACAUUAGAGAUUAUCUUUAAAGAAAACAAAUACUUCCUUAUUUACCUUUAAUUGGAAAACCUAAAAAGAAAAAAAAAUGCAGGCAGAAGUUUUAUGAACAAUAAAAUCUUUUUUGAGAAUGAGAAAAAGAACAGUUUGCUGCACAUUUGAACUUUUGUGCAGUGCCUAGAGAUGGUAUCCUUUUAACCGAGUUGAUAAGUGCAACUAUAUCUGGACUUCUUUAAGUUCAAGAAGAUAAACGUGUGCUUCUGUCCAACACUUCAGAGCACAAGAGCUUGGCUGCUAUUCAAGUAGUUACAAAGUCAAGUAUACAAAAAUGGAAUACCUUGAAAUACUAUUUCCUUUGUUGUUUCAUUCAGUACAACAGAAAAGCAUAAUAGAGUGAUUCACUUACGAAGAAUAUAUUAGCAGCCAUUAAAAGUUACUAUAAUUCUGUAUUGCUUUCCCCUCUCCCUUAAGUAAUCUGAUCCAGUUUACUCUGCUCAAGUAAAGGAACGGUACAGCCUGAAAAAUACAAAAAACAGUGAGUCCAUGUGUUAUCCUUCAGUAAGAAGCAGUUUUAUUUAUACCAUGCUAUCUAAAAUGUUUGAGGCUAAACUAUCAUAAUGGCUUUUCUGAAGAGAAAAAUUAAUCAAAAUAAGGUGGCAGGGGGAAUAAUUAUUUUAUUCAUGAGAUUUGGGGACAAUUUAUUUUUUGAUCGAUUAAAAAUAUUUAUAGUGAAUAUGUAGCAUGAUCAUAAUUUUUAAUAUUAUAAUUAUAAUUUAUAAUUUAAACCUGCUCUAGACACGUUAAAAAAGUCAGAAAGACUCCCGCCACCUUGCAUUCCCAAGCCAUACUUAUUUGGUGACUACUUAAAAGAUGCAAACAUUAAUAUGUAGUUGUCAUAGUCUGUGAUAAUGUGUUGAUGGUGUCGUGUCCCAAGACAGAAAUGUAAGAAAAUAAUUCUCUCCUAAACAUCCAGCAGGAAACUUGAACCACACCAACUGUAAUAAACUGGCUUUCACAAGAAGUCAGAAGAUAUGAAGUAAAGACUUGAUGAUUUUCUUUAACUCAGAUGACU